GGAAUUUUCCGCAAUGGGCGAAAGCCUGACGGAGCAAUACCGCGUGAGGGAAGACUGCCUAUGGGUUGUAAACCUCUUUUUUCAGGGAGGAAUAAAAUGACGUGUACCUGAAGAAUAAGCAUCGGCUAACUCCGUGCCAGCAGCCGCGGUAAGACGGAGGAUGCAAGUGUUAUCCGGAAUCGCUGGGCGUAAAGCGUCUGUAGGUGGUUUAAUAAGUCAACUGUUAAAUCUUGAGGCUCAACUUCAAAAUCGCAGUCGAAACUAUUAGACUAGAGUAUAGUAGAGGUAAAGGGAAUUUCCAGUGGAGCGGUGAAAUGCGUAGAUAUUGGAAAGAACACCGAUGGCGAAAGCACUUUACUGGGCUAUUACUAACACUCGGAGACGAAAGCUAGGGUAGCAAAUGGGAUUAGAUACCCCAGUAGUC
rnacentral:rRNA from 1 species